rnacentral:rRNA from 1 species
AUGCGGAAGAGAUAAGUGCUGAAAGCAUCUAAGCACGAAACUUGCCCCGAGAUGAGUUCUCCCUGACCCUUUAAGGGUCCUGAAGGAACGUUGAAGACGACGACGUUGAUAGGCCGGGUGUGUAAGCGCAGCGAUGCGUUGAGCUAACCGGUACUAAUGAACCGUGAGGCUUAACCUU